UACGUAGGGUGCAAGCGUUGUCCGGAAUUAUUGGGCGUAAAGAGCUCGUAGGCGGUUUGUCGCGUCUGCUGUGAAAACUCAGGGCUUAACCCUGAGCCUGCUCCCGAUACGGGCAGACUAGAGGUAUGUAGGGGAGAACGGAAUUCCUGGUGUAGCGGUGAAAUGCGCAGAUAUCAGGAGGAACACCGGUGGCGAAGGCGGUUCUCUGGGCAUUACCUGACGCUGAGGAGCGAAAGUGUGGGGAGCGAACAGG
rnacentral:rRNA from 1 species